CUGCAGGCUGCAACCCGCCUGCACGAAGCCGGAGUUGCUAGUAAUCGCGAAUCAGAAUGUCGCGGUGAAUGCGUUCCCGGGUCUUGUACACACCGCCCGUCACACCAUGGAAGUUGGGGGUGCCCAAAGCCGGCAAGCAGAUAUGCUGUCUAAGGCAAAACCAAUGACUGGGGUGAAGUCGUAACAAGGUAGC
rnacentral:rRNA from 1 species